rnacentral:lncRNA from 1 species
UGAUUCCGGACAGAGUCCAAUUCUCCCAUCCAGAGCUCACUACUGGAAGACCGUACCAAGUAUAUGUGAGGCUGCUGAACAAAGUUAAGAUAUAUGGUAUGCAUGAGUAUUCUUCUACACUGCCCUUCUUUAUCACUCUUCUGAAUGUCAAUCUGGGAAACACAGUAAAAUGGAAAGUGUUAUGCAAUGCAUCAUAUACUCUAAGCUGAUCAUAGGAGUUUAUGAUAUAGGCAUGUACAUUGGUGCUGCAUAGAGGAGAAAGCAGACUACACUUCCUGCAAGAAAAGACCAUGAUGGAGUUAAAAGAGGAAGCAAACUAGUUGGAGUAGCUAGUGAAUUGAAAAAUACCAAUAAUCCCCGUUGUUACGUGGAGGUCAGGAAACAUUCUUUUGGGCUGAAGGUUUUAUCUUGCCACAAGAACUAGAUUUGCCCAGGGUUCGUAGUUUAUAACAAGGGGCACGCUAUUUAUAAUGCACGAUGGGUGUUUAACGUGUUGGAAGAAGAAGAUAUUGCCCAAACCACUAGGUGGAAUAUCAGUAGGAGGCCCACAUACUUCCCUUAUUCAUACGAAACACGGCACAAUUUUCAGCAAGACCGCAAACGUCAAGUAAGGGUGAAAUGGACAUACAUGUUUUUUGCUCAGAAUCCAGUUAAUUAUUCCAGCCAUGUACCUAGAAGAAUCUCAAAAGCUUUUAUGUUUGAUGCUGGUCCAUGCACCCAUGUUGGAGAAUCUGGUAUGUUAUAGCACCUAUUCCAUCUAUAAGAUAGCGAGAUAUGGUGUCCAACUGUUGGAUUUGCUUGAUUAUGAAGAUAUUGAGAAACAUCAAAAUGUCUCAUUAGCUUCUGUUGCUAACAAGCGGCAACUGUUGAUCCACAGGAAAAAAGAAGGGUGACAAUCGUUGGUGUCUUUUGUUCUUCACUUUUUCCAUACAUGUUAAGAAGCAUCCAUACAUGUGAUGUAUCAUGCAUCAUUAUCUGAUCACGGAACAGUUCUGUUAUUCCGGUAAAAGGACCGAUACAUUUGCUCACCAUUCGUAACGAGCAACUGCAUUUUUCUGGUAAAAUUUAUAUUUAUUAGAUAUUCUGAUGCUGCUUGUUAAGCUCUAACUAAUGUAAUGAUCCCGAGUAAAUGUUCUUAUGAUAACUUACUGAUUCAUGUUUGGUUUUCCUCUUAUUAAUUUGUGUGUUUCUUGCCAAUGCAACCAAAAGACCGAUCUGAUGGAAGAGACUAGUCAAUGCAUCAACACUCCCCCUCAAGACCUCUUGGCUCUGAUACCAUGUAGAAGUGGGUGCUCUAGCCAAUGCAACCAAAAGACCGAUCUGAUGAAAAAGACUAGGCAAUACAACAACAAUGAGCAUUCUGUGGUUCUCUUGCAGUGCGAAUUGUCACUCAUGGAAUGAUUCUUGUGGCUGUUUCGCACGAUCAUAUGUAAUCUGUCUGCUGUUUCGCAUGUUGGUUCACAUGAUCAUAUGUAAUCUGUCUGUUGUGCACGUUGUAUAAUGCAACCAGUGUUAUUGUCAUUGAUGAUAGAAUAUGCUGUAGAAUACCAGUAAUCCUGAAUAUGUGCUAAAGUUGCCACGCUACGUAUAAAAUCUUCAACGACAAGCAUUUGAUUCCAAGAAAAGGCGACUGUCAUGCAGAUAAGCAUACAUUAGAGGUUGAGCAUCUAUUUCGUGUGGAGGGUGGAUGUUGCGUAAUUGCUUGUGUUUUUUCUUUCUUUUCGUGUUUCAUUGUACCAAAAAAUCGCUUUCCUCCCCGUGAAGCCGAAAGUCCCUAUAAACCACCUGUAUUUUUUGUUUCUUUUGCUUUCUAUACUAAACUGUCAUUAUAAUUUGUGUGUAGUGCUUCAGUUUGAAACCCUUUCUGAACUUGAAAAUUAUCUUUACAGGUCAUGAAGCCACCAAAUUUAUAUUUUCCAGUUUUUCAUUGACUCUUAAUGCACUACAGAGGACCGCGUUACUGGAGGAGACACUAAGAUCUGAAGCGUGAAUAUAUCUGACAAAGGAACAAUAGCUUUAUUCUUAUAGAAGAACUGAUGCUGUUAU